GUAAACCCUACCCUAACACUCCCUCUGACUCUCCUCUCUCUUUAUCUCUUCCGUCUUCUAUGUCGUCGCCUCUGGUGGCUCCACCGGCAACCACCACUGUCGCCGCCACGACCACCUCCUCCCUUACCGCCCUCUCUCUCUUCUCCUAUUCUCUUCAGCGAUCUUCAUCGGUCGUCUACUUCGUCUUCUCCACUCUUGUCAUCAAUUCCAAAACCCUAAACCUACCUUCGAUCUUCUCCAAUCCCUCCACAAGCCAUAUGUUCGAAUCCAGACCCUACACUCCCCUCAACUGUUUCAGAACCUUUGUCUACAAAGGACUACCGCUGGACUCAUCAGAACGACGAUCUCGAAUAGGCUGAUUGCAAUGAGAAAGAUCAGGCGGCGAGGCACAUUAAUGCGUUAGAAACAAAAUCGGAAGAUGGGCAGUUCAUCUUUGCCCUAAUUUUUCUCUCCAUUUUAUGUGGUGCAUUUAGUAGACUGGCUUUCCAUCAGCAGCUUCAGCAGCAGCUGCUGCUAGAUCAUCAUCAGACUUCACCUCCACUGAUCCUUUCGCUAGGUUGGACCAGUACUUCUAUUUUCAACUGCCACUGCAAUCAACGUGCUUGGGUGGGAUGGAAAAGUGAGGACAAUUCUUUCCAUUAGUAUGCCCAAUGCAGGCAGUGCUGGUUAGUGCAUUGAAUGAUCGAUUGUCGCUUGCAAACCCGACCGAUAAAUCCGAAACCAAAAAAGAAGGUUGAGAUAAAGGGUUGUCUUAUUGGGCUUUUCGAACCUCUUCUUAUUGGAUUUGCCACAAAGCAACAGAGUUUUGAGCAGAAACUAGACUUGUCAGAAAUAUUGUAUCAAAUAACAUCCGGGUUUUCCGUUCCCCUACUAGCAGGCAUGUUUGUUUUGUCACAUAUACUACUCCUUUGGAUAUUAAACACUUGUUGGAUUCUCUUAUCCUUUUCAUUUCUAUUGUUUGGCUUAUAAAGAUUAUUUGUAAAAAGCACUAUCAAUGUAGAUUAUUUCAUUAAGAAGCAUCCAGUAAACUAAAAGAAAAUUAAUAGAGGAAAGACAACUUAAAAGAGAAUUCAAAA